rnacentral:rRNA from 1 species
AGCCUGACGCAGCGACGCCGCGUGAGGGAUGACGGCCUUCGGGUUGUAAACCUCUUUCAGUAGGGACGAAGCGAAAGUGACGGUACCUACAGAAGAAGCACCGGCCAACUACGUGCCAGCAGCCGCGGUAAUACGUAGGGUGCAAGCGUUGUCCGGAAUUAUUGGGCGUAAAGAGCUCGUAGGCGGUCUGUCACGUCGGCUGUGAAAACCCGAGGCUCAACCUCGGGCCUGCAGUCGAUACGGGCAAACUAGAGUACUGCAGGGGAGACUGGAAUUCCUGGUGUAGCGGUGAAAUGCGCAGAUAUCAGGAGGAACACCGGUGGCGAAGGCGGGUCUCUGGGCAGUAACUGACGCUGAGGAGCGAAAGCGUGGGGAGCGAACAGGAUUAGAUACCCUGGUAGUCCACGCCGUAAACGUUGGGCGCUAGGUGUGGGGGCCAUUCCACGGUCUCCGUGCCGCAGCUAACGCAUUAAGCGCCCCGCCUGGGGAGUACGGCCGCAAGGCUAAAACUCAAAGGA